GGACGAGGGGCCCCUCUCGGGUUACCGAAUUCAGACAAACUCCGAAUGCCAAUUAAUUUAACUUGGGAGUCAGAACAUGGGUGAUAAGGUCCGUGUUCGAAAGGGAAACAGCCCAGACCACCAGCUAAGGUCCCAAAAUAUAUGUUAAGUGGAAAAGGAUGUGGCGUUGCCCAGACAACUAGGAUGUUGGCUUAGAAGCAGCCAUCAUUUAAAGAGUGCGUAAUAGCUCACUAGUCGAGUGACACUGCGCCGAAAAUGUACCGGGGCUAAACAUAUUACCGAAGCUGUGGAUUGUCCUUUGGACAAUGGUAGGAGAGCGUUCUAAGGGCGUUGAAGCAUGAUCGUAAGGACAUGUGGAGCGCUUAGAAGUGAGAAUGCCGGUGUGAGUAGCGAAAGACGGGUGAGAAUCCCGUCCACCGAUUGACUAAGGUUUCCAGAGGAAGGCUCGUCCGCUCUGGGUUAGUCGGGUCCUAAGCUGAGGCCGACAGGCGUAGGCGAUGGAUAACAGGUUGAUAUUCCUGUACCACCUAUAAUCGUUUUA
rnacentral:rRNA from 1 species